rnacentral:rRNA from 1 species
GCUCGUAGUUGAACCUUGGGCCUGGCUGGCCGGUCCGCCUCACGCGUGCACUGGUCCGGCCGGGCCUUUCCUUCUGGGGAGCCGCAUGCCCUUCACUGGGUGUGUCGGGGAACCAGGACUUUUACUUUGAAAAAAUUANAGUGUUCAAAGCAGGCCUAUGCUCGAAUACAUUAGCAUGGAAUAAUAGAAUAGGACGUGUGGUUCUAUUUUGUUGGUUUCUAGGACCGCCGUAAUGAUUAAUAGGGAUAGUCGGGGGCAUCAGUAUUCAAUUGUCAGAGGUGAAAUUCUUGGAUUUAUUGAAGACUAACUACUGCGAAAGCAUUUGCCAAGGAUGUUUUCAUUAAUCAGUGAACGAAAGUUAGGGGAUCGAAGACGAUCAGAUACCGUCGUAGUCUUAACCAUAAACUAUGCCGACUAGGGAUCGGGCGAUGUUAUUUUUUGACUCGCUCGGCACCUUACGAGAAAUCAAAGUUUUUGGGUUCUGGGGGGAGUAUGGUCGCAAGGCUGAAACUUAAAGAAAUUGACGGAAGGGCACCACCAGGAGUGGAGCCUGCGGCUUAAUUUGACUCAACACGGGGAAACUCACCAGGUCCAGACACAAUAAGGAUUGACAGAUUGAGAGCUCUUUCUUGAUUUUGUGGGUGGUGGUGCAUGGCCGUUCUUAGUUGGUGGAGUGAUUUGUCUGCUUAAUUGCGAUAACGAACGAGACCUUAACCUGCUAAAUAGCCAGGCUAGCUUUGGCUGGUCGCCGGGCUUCUUANAGGGACUAUCGGCUCAAGCCGAUGGGAANUUUGAGGCAAUAACAGGUCUGUNNAUGCCNUUANANGUUCUGGGGCCGCACGCCCCCCUCACUGNCAGAACCNACGAAGUUCAUCACCCUUGGGCGAAAGGGUCGGGGUNANUCUUGUUNAAACUCUGGUC